rnacentral:rRNA from 1 species
AGCCGCCGCGGUAAUACGUACGGUGCAAGCGUUAAUCGGAAUUACUGGGCGUAAAGCGUGCGCAGGCGGUUAGGUAAGACAGAUGUGAAAUUCCCGGGCUCAACCUGGGAACUGCAUUUGUGACUGCCUGACUAGAGUGCGGCAGAGGGGAGUGGAAUUCCGCGUGUAGCAGUGAAAUGCGUAGAUAUGCGGAGGAACACCGAUGGCGAAGGCAACUCCCUGGGCCUGCACUGACGCUCAUGCACGAAAGCGUGGGGAGCAAACAGGAUUAGAUACCCUGGUAGUCCACGCCCUAAACGAUGUCGACUAGUUGUUGGACGGGUUACUGUUCAGUAACGAAGCUAACGCGUGAAGUCGACCGCCUGGGGAGUACGGCCGCAAGGUUAAAACUCAAAGGAAUUGACGGGGACCCGCACAAGCGGUGGAUGAUGUGGUUUAAUUCGAUGCAACGCGAAAAACCUUACCUACCCUUGACAUGCCAGGAACUUACCAGAGAUGGUUUGGUGCUCGAAAGAGAGCCUGGACACAGGUGCUGCAUGGCUGUCGUCAGCUCGUGUCGUGAGAUGUUGGGUUAAGUCCCGCAACGAGCGCAACCCUUGUCAUUAGUUGCUACGCAAGAGCACUCUAAUGAGACCGCCGGUGACAAACCGGAGGAAGGUGGGGAUGACGUCAAGUCCUCAUGGCCCUUAUGGGUAGGGCUACACACGUCAUACAAUGGGCGGUACAGAGGGUUGCCAACCCGCGAGGGGGAGCCAAUCCCUUAAAACCGCUCGUAGUCCGGAUUGUAGUCUGCAACUCGACUGCAUGAAGUCGGAAUCGCUAGUAAUCGCGGAUCAGCUUGCCGCGG